rnacentral:pre_miRNA from 1 species
GUAUGACUGUGUAGAUGGUGUUCAGCACCAAGGACAGGUAUGUACAUGUAUCACUGUGUGGAUGGUGUUCAGCACCAAGGACAGGUAUGUACAUGU